rnacentral:rRNA from 1 species
AACGAACGCUGGCGGCAUGCCUAACACAUGCAAGUCGAACGAGACCUUCGGGUCUAGUGGCGCACGGGUGCGUAACGCGUGGGAAUCUGCCCUUGGGUUCGGAAUAACAGUUAGAAAUGACUGCUAAUACCGGAUGAUGUCUUCGGACCAAAGAUUUGUCGCCCAGGGAUGAGCCCGCGUAGGAUUAGCUAGUUGGUGAGGUAAAGGCUCACCAAGGCGACGAUCCUUAGCUGGUCUGAGAGGAUGAUCAGCCACACUGGGACUGAGACACGGCCCAGACUCCUACGGGAGGCAGCAGUGGGGAAUAUUGGACAAUGGGCGAAAGCCUGAUCCAGCAAUGCCGCGUGAGUGAUGAAGGCCUUAGGGUUGUAAAGCUCUUUUACCCGGGAUGAUAAUGACAGUACCGGGAGAAUAAGCCCCGGCUAACUCCGUGCCAGCAGCCGCGGUAAU